UAUCAAAGGUUUAAACCCCGCUCUCCCUUAUCUGAUCUCUCUCUCGGACGAGAGCCAUUGAUUUCUUCUUCUCCCAAAAGCCUUGAGAGCCAGGCCUUCCUUUGUCUCAUUUCUCCUCCCAAGUACUGCAGCGAUGACGUCGACCGAGACGGAAGACGCCGUAUGACGUCACACCGCCAUCACCGAUUACCGCAAGAGCUCGAAUCACGAGUCUGGCGAGAUCAGAUUCGUACUCCAAAUCCUCCUUAUUCAUGUUGGAUUCUGCAUCUGUAACCGGAGAGCGUUUCUCUCGCCAUCGGUGAACCAGCUCAAUGGGAUUGAUUCCAAAGUCCAGAGCUUCAUCUGCACCUGAAGAACUGAGAUCUUAUCAUCGACGAUUUAGCUCACCACUCUAGAAUCGUUUUAAUUCAAAGCUCUUGAGAAGUUGCUGAAGGAUUUGCUAAUAGAUUUGCUACUGGAAAUGAAGUGUAUAGCUCUUAUUUGUGGCUUUAGAGACUUUGGUAAGAGUCUGUGUGUAAGUUUUCUGUUUCUGCUGCUAUUGCUUUUGUCAGUUUUUGUGUGAUUUGGUUUUUGAUUGGGUCUUUUGUUGUUGUUGGUUUUGAAUUGGUAUGGGUUUCUGCGUUUUGGGGAUUUUGUUUGUAUGCGGGUCUGGGUUGUUGAUGAUUCACUGGAGAGAUUUCAAGUUAUUUUAGUCUUCAGCAGUUUCAAGAUUUUCAUCAGAUAGUGGCUCAUUUUUUAUGGUGGAUGUGUGUAUUCGAUUUGCUUGAUUUGUGACGACUUUAUGAUUUUAAAGUUGGUUUUUGUUUUAAGAUUUUGAUAGAGAUUGAGAAUUGUUUCUACUGUUGUUGGAGAAUAUGUAACCAAUGGGAGCACGAGUAGGCAGAUAGAAUGGAAUUUAAUUCUUUGAUUCAUAUAGAUUACUUUUGGAUCUGAAUCAACCUGUAAUAAUAACUUAUUAGGAUGCUAUAAGCUUCAUAUUAGUUACGCUUUGAUUUGCUGUGCUUAUCCUCAGUUAGUGGUCUUCUUAAGCACUAUAAAGACAUUUUUAGUAAAAACCAGAAGCAAAAGCAGAAGAAAAAAAGAUCAAAGGCUUGAAAGCCAGAUUAACUUAGCAAAAUUGUAUCUUUAUUAUUCACUUUAGCAAAAUAAGUGUAGAAUAUUUUUGGCUUCUAUCAUCCCCUUAACCUUGUCAUGCUUUUCAUGCUACACACACACACACACACACAUAUAUAUAUAUAUAUAUAUAUAUUUACUAACUAUUGGAUCCAUCAUUUUGAUGUAUAAUGAUUUAUAAGCAUGAUCAAUUUUAAUAGUAAAUUUUGUAGCUCUUUAUUAAUGUCAUUCAAUAUUGUCUAGCUCCAACUUCAAUGGGCAAACAACAGGCAUCCGUAAGUGUUGAAUUUAUCAUGAAGAUCCAAGUAAAGCUGUUCUUUUAAGAAACAAGAUAUAUUUGAAGUGGAAUGUGGCAAUGUGCAGUGAACGGUUGAGGCAAUCCACCCCAGUGGCUUUACACUACCACUUUAGGUUCAUUUUAUUUGUAUUGGUUUUGCUAUAAGCUUCAUUUGUUAUUGGUUCAACAACAUUUGUUUGUAUAUUGCUCAACUUUUUAUACAAGUGAAUGUUCUUUUAUGAAA